rnacentral:lncRNA from 1 species
ACCUCGCCCAGCGAUUUAAGUAUCGCCUUGUCGCCGCCUCUGUUAGUCCUGCUACCUCGAGAAGAAUUACCCUAAUCGCCAUUGGCGCUCGACGCUGGGGAGAGAGGAAGAAGCGUGCUCCGGUCGCCACCAUGAUCGCGCAGAGAGAGUGCGCCGGGAGUCACCACUUCGGAGCCGAGCGAGGUGGAGAGGAUAGCCCGUGGCUGGGGUGCCCGUGGUGUGUGCCAUCAGGCAGACAUUGCCGGGCGAGGUCACCACCCAGUGCUUCCUGGCGCACGCACCAGUGCCGGUGAUUGACGCCGCGCCGCAGGAACAAACCCGUCAACAUCCCCCUUGUUGGUAAGCUCAUGACCUCGGUUUGUUUUGACCCUCGCAGAGCGGAUCUAGAGAGGCUUAGUGGGUAGAAACCAUUACACCUUUGGGCUAUGUGCUGCAAAUGGCGCCGCCCUGGUGUAGACCGAUUGGAGUGGAGGAGAGAGGGUGUCGUGGGAUUGAAGACGAUCCAGGGACCGUUGGAUUCGGAAAGGGCGAGUGAGAUUAGAUCCAAACAAAAUACUCGCGGUUUGAUCCCCUGCCGUUGAGCUUGUAACUGAUGGCCGGAAUCGGUCCUAAAUACCGCUUCGGCUGGGGUAGGUUGGCCGUCGAUUUUGUAGGUAACGGCUCAGAUUAGAAGACAAUACCCCCUCGCGCGAUCUAGAUCAGGACCGUUGAAUUUUGAUCUGAUGGGUUGGAUCAGAUCAUGCCUAAAUAAAACCCACGCCGUUGGAUCUUUAUCCAACGGUGACUACUGCGUACCCGUUCAGUGGAGUCCUGGUCUAAUCUGAGCCAUCCAUUUAAGAUCAAACGACCCAUGUUAGAUCAUAACCCUUCGGCCGGGUGAUCUUGCAAUUGAACCCCUGUGGUCUCCAUGAAUUAACCCGUUGUCCACGCAGGGGGGCGCUCUGUGUCUUAGGGAAUUUUGCUCCAGAGACCCUGCAGUUUCCUGUAUUUGAGGCACAGUCCAGUUAAUAAGAAAAACAGAGAAAUUGAAUUAGAAAUUGAAUUUUUAAUAUAAAAACAAUUCCAGAAUUUUGUUAAAUCCAUAGAAAAUUCAUAUUAAGUCCAAAUGAGAUCAUUCCAAUUUCUAUAAUUCUAUAAUAUUAUUGUUCAUCACAUAGUACCUCUGUUUUGACAUGAAUAUCACAUUAAAAUUAAUAUCCUAAGUAAUCUUUUAUCCAACACUUAAAACUUAAUAAAUUCAUAACUUCUUCAUUUUAAUUCCGUUUUGAUCCAUUCAAGUUGUGUUAGUCUCGUAGCAACGUGUAGAUUAUUAUUACACAGUUUUAUUCUUAUGUUUGGUGUAAUGUUAAUUUUAUCUAUACCAUGUCUGUUUGUAUUGCUACGACUAGCGCGAGGACACGUGUCAUAUGAACGCAAGUUGGUACCUGGAAUCUCAAGUGUCAGGCAAGUUGUGCCCUUGAUUCACUUUUGUUACCCAAUAAUGUUCUUUAUAAUCAUUUACCAUGCAUAGGUUUAAUUUUGAUGGGACCCGAUAGGUCACCCUAGAUUGUUUAUCUCAUUACCUUGUUUACCCCUGAAUCACUUGGGUAGUUUGCUAUUGCUUUAUAUGGUUUUGGGAUAAUCAUUUAUUAUAUCCAUGUUCCAAUUAUUAUGUUAUUUUAUUUAUGUUCAUGUCAAGAUCAUUAUAUUAUUGUUAAUUGGAACAUGGAGCUUAACUUGAGAAACACGUGCCACCACAAGGGAGGAAUGGGACCCCUUGGCUGACUAAUUAGGAAAGCUAGUGGAAGACUACCUUACCCGAAAGGGGCAAGGGCAGUAGGGGAGUUGCAUGCAAGGAGGUUCUCGGGUUGAUUUGCUGCGAUGGCGGUCAGACGGGGGAUUCUUGCAAGUGCUCUUCCCAUAAACUGUAGCGGGUUUUCGGAAGCUAGUGGAACUUUGUAAAGGCCUCGUAGUGGAUCCCUAGCCAUUCACCUUGGUAGUGUCUAAGGGCCUAGCUAACCCUGGUGACAUGGGAAACACGACUUGUGGGUAAAGGGUACAACCUCUGCAGAGUGUAAAACUGGUAUACUAGCCGAGCUCACGGUCAUGAGCGGCUCAGGACUCUCCGAUGAUUAAAUUAUGGAACCUAAACUCAAUUUGUCAUUUGCAUUUGCAUGGGAUUAUUAUUAAUUUUGUUCUAUUACUUUAUUUAAGGUUUGGUAUUUACUUACAUGUAGUAACUGCUAAUAAAAUUUUGACCAACUACUUAAAAGCAAUGCUCAGCUUUAACCCCUAUUGUUGACAAGACUUACACUUCAUGAACUCCCCACCUUUGGUGAGUUCAUGUCACAUUAUUCCCCACAACUUGUUGAGCGAUGAACAUGUGUGAGCUCACCCUUGCUGUCUCACACCCCCCACAGGUCAAGAGCAGGUACCACUGGAGGAGGCACAUGGUGGAUGUUGCGCUGUGUUCGUGAGAUGUCCAGGGCGUCGUCUCCCAGUUGACUUAUGCGCCAAGGACGAUCCUUAGUUCGUGUUAUAUUUAUCUUUUAUUUUGUAAGUCUUCCGCUAUGUAAUAAAUACUCUGAUUAUUGUGACAUUUAUCUCUAUACACUCUGUUAUUAUAUAUGUUGUCUUCUUUGGCGCAUGUAUGAGAUGCACCUGGCUUUGUCCCUUAAAGCCGGGUGUGACAGAAGUGGUAUCAGAGGAAAUGUUGACUGUAGGACGAAACCUAGAUAGAAAUGGACAACUCUACCUACUUACCUUACUCUAACCCAUUCUAUACUUACCUUAUCUUGAUCAUGUCUCACCUUUUGCUGUCAUACUCUGAUUUCUCUUAUCUUUUCUAUUCUAAGACAAGAUGGAUUUCACACUUUGGAAUCCUACAUUUAUGACCUUUUUAGGAGAUAGGAGACGUAAGACAAAAUUUAAAACUAUUUUCUCUAUUAAAAAAAUGUUGGUUGAUUGUUCUGAUGAUAAAUGCCUGAUUUGCUUCUUUGAUUGAUUGAAAUAGUAUAGACGGGCAUCUUAGCAUGUACCACCAUAAGGUAAUGUAUUAGCUUUAGUAGGUGACACACUAAUCUACUUAGCUAAUAAAUCCCCCGCAGUAACAUUUCUCGUAAUUACUCGCCUUGUCUACAAUUCUUCCUUUCUUAUCCUGUGUUUCUAACCCAGAUGGACUACCCCUAUAGUGUUAGAAGAGAGCACUAUAGACGUGAUCCUUGGUAUGUCAAGGUUGAGAAAGGCAAAGGCAGUUUAUACGCUAUGCUAAAGGAACCAAAGAACUCACCAGUUCCAAAGGAGAAAGAUUUGAAGUUGCAGUAACUACCACCAUCAGACUAGCGGCAUUCUUAGUAGAUGAGAAGUUUGUGGGUGACAACAUCCGUGCAGUUAGGGAUUUUCCGGAUGUCUUUAUAGAGGAGUUAUUAGGGAUGCCACCAAAUAGGGAAGUUGAGUUCGUAAUUGAUCUUCUACCUGGAACUGCCCUAUUUCUAAACGGCCAUAUAGGAUGUCCUUAGAUGAACUAAAGGAACUUAAGAAGCAGUUAACAGAGUUACAAGAGGCUGGGUACAUUCAUUCGGAUUCUUCACCUUGUGGAGCGCCGGUUCUAUUUGUACAGAAGAAAGAUGGAUCACAAGGGAUGUGCGUGGAUUAAAGGUCCCUUAAUGGUGUCACUAUGAAGAACAAAUAUCCGUUACCCCGCAUUGAGGAUUUAUUGAUCGGAUGAAAGAUGCUAGGGUAUUCUUGAAGAUCGAUCUCUGAUCGGGUUAUCACCAAACGAAGAUUAGGCCAUCGGAUAUUCCCAAGAUGGAUUUCUCGACCCGAUAUGGUUUAUAUGAGUUCACCGUUAUGUCAUUUGGACUAACCAAUACACCAGCCUAUUUUAUGGAUCUGAAGAAUGAGGUGUUCAUGAUUUGGACAGAUUUGUCGUGGUUUUCAUCGACGAUACUCUUAUUUAUUCCAAGAGUGAUAGUGAUCAUGAGAAAUAUCUGAGAUUGGUGCUACAGAAGCUACGAGUAAAUGCGAGUUUUGGAUUGGUGAGGUGCCAUUUCUUGGACAUAUCAUUUCUAAUGGAGGAAUAUCAGUGGAUCCUGCUAAGGGUAAGAGAUAGUGGCGUGGAGCAUACCCACUAUAGUUACAGAGAUUCGGAGUUCUUGGGACUUGCAGGAUAAUAUUGGAGAUUUAUUGAAGGAUUUUCUAAGAUUGCUGAGCCUAUGACCUCGCUUCUGGAGAAGGGAAGAGAGUUUAAGUGGGACGAGAAGUGCCAAGAUAGCUUCGGUCAAUUAAAGAAGAGAUUGAUGUCACCACCCGUGUUUGUUAUGCCAGAUCAGUAGAAAGGAUUUGACAUUUAUUGUGAUGCAUGUGGCCAAGGCUUGGGAUGUGUACCUAUGUGAGAAGGACAUGUGAUCGCCUAUGCGUCUCGUCAGUUGCGGAAACACGAGUUGAACUACCCCACGCAUGUCUUGGAACUGGCAUCCGUUGUGCAUGCGCUUAAGAUUUGGAGACAUUAUAUUAUGGGAAACAAGUGUCAAGUAUGCACGGAUCAUAAGAGUUUGAAGUGUAUAUUCACUCAAAAGGAUCUUAACCUUAGGCAACGCCGUUGGUUGGAGCUUAUUAAGGAUUAUGAUUUGGAUAUUCACUAUCACCCGGGCAAGGCAAUUUGGUUGCAGAUGCCUUGAGUCAAAAGGAGCAUGUUCAUUCGGCUGUUGUUGCCCAGCUACUCGAUGAGAUUGUUGAGGAUUUCAGGAGACUUAACCUGGGGAUAAUUGCUCACACUGAAGAAGAUACUAUUGAUGUGGAAUCUACUUUGGAGCGAGAAAUCCGCAAAGGUCAACUUGAUGAUGCUAAAAUAAAAGAGAUUAAGGAUCUGAUUACUGAAGGUCGAGUUCUGGAAUUUACAGAAGAUGAGAAAGGCACCAUAUGGUUCAAGGACAGGAUAUGUGUCCCUAAGAUUGAAAGCCUUCGUGAGACUAUUUUAAAGGAAGCCCAUGACUCGGAUUAUUCUAGUCAUCCUGGUAGUACCAAGAUGUAUUAGGAUUUGAAGCAGAAAUACUGGUGGUAUGGAUUGAAGAUAGAUGUGGCUGCACAUGUGGCUAUGUGCGAUGUGUGUCAAAGAGUUAAGGCAGAACACCAAAGACCAACUGGACUAUUAUACCCAUUAAAGAUACCCGAAUGGAAGUGGGAAGAGAUUGGUAUGGAUUUCAUUACUGGAUUGCCUCGCACCUCGAAAGGAUAGGAUUCUAUAUGGGUUAUUGUGGAUAGACUAACCAAAGUGGCUCAUUUCAUUCCGAUCAAGACUACUUAUAAGGUAUCUCAAUUGGCAGAGUUAUAUAUCGCUCGGAUUGUGUCUCUACACGGUGUACCAAAGAAGAUCGUUUUGGAUAGAGGAUCACAAUUUACCUCUAGAUUUUGGAAAAGUUUUCAAGAGAAUGUGGAUACAAAGUUGAAUUCUAGUUCGGCCUACCAUUCUCAGACUGAUGGACAGACUGAAAGGACUAAUCAAGUAUUGGAAGAUAUGUUGAGAGCUUGUGCCCUUCAGCAUGGUAGUAGUUGGGACAAGAGUCUACCUUGUGCUGAGUUCUCAUAUAAUAAUAGUUACCAGGCCAGUCUGAAGAUGGCAUCGUUCGAGGCUCUGUAUGGCAGGAAAUGCAGGACUCCUCUAUUUUGGACCAGACUAGAGAAAAACAUAUCUUUGGACCUAAACUUAUUCGAGGUAGAAGAACAAGUCUGUAUAAUCAGGGAGAAUUUGAGGGUAGCUCAGACUAGGCAAAAGAGCUAUGCUGAUAAUAGAGGGAGACCACUGUAAUUUGAGGAUGGAGGUUAUGUGUACCUCAAGGUGUCACCACUUCGUGGAAUGAGGAGAUUCAAUGUUAAGGGCAAAUUGUCCCCUCGCUUCAUUGGACUAUUCUGAGUUUUUUUAGGCAAGUUGGAGAGAUGGCCUAUCAACUCGAGCUACCUGAUAAUCUAUCUGAUGUGCAUAAUGUAUUUCAUGUGUCUCAACUUAAGAAGUGUCUUUGUGUCCCUGAGGAACAGUUACCAAUGGAAGAGCUCGGUGUUCAGGGAGAUUUGACUUACACGGAGUAUCCUAUCAAGAUUCUUGACAUCUUGACUCGAGUUACAAGAAAUAAAGUUAUAAAGAUGUGCAGAGUGCAAUAGAGUUACCAUGGCGAAGAUGAAACAACAUGGGAAAGAGAAGAAGAGCUUCGCAUAGAUUUUCCCCACCUUUUCCCUCGUUCCUCCUAAAUCUCGGGGACGAGAUUCUUAUUAAGGGGGUAGGAUUUGUAAUACCCAAAGUUGUAAACUAUAGAGAGGGGGGAUAACGCUCUCAUGUACUUUGUCUCCAUUUAGUAUCACAUGUGAAUAACCACACGUAAAAGUGACUAAUUAACAAAUGAAACAAGAACAACUUGUGUAUCAUGCUGGAGUUUAUAUAUUUGUGUAUUCACUUCUAAAGAUAGUGAUAAUAGAAAUGUGCAAAUGGUGAAAUGGACAAUUAUUUAAUUUGGAAAAUUAAGAAUUGGAGAAAAAGAAGGAAGAGUACUAAACAAAAAAAUAUAAUAAGUGAAAAUAAAAAUAUAAAAUAAAAAUAUAAAGACAUAUAUAUAAAUAUAUUAUUUUUAUCAUAAGAUUUUAAUUUGUACAUUGAUAUAUGUACAAGUCACAACCAAAUUUAAAUUCAAAAUUUGAAAUCAAAAAAAAAUGAGAAAAGAAAAACAGAAAAGAUAAAAGCAAAGGGGAACCAGCAUCUGGGCCCAUUCUUACCUGUCUCGACCCAGUUCCACACUCCACGUUGCACGGUCACUCUCCCACCUUGGGCGCGCUUCUCUGCCACUGCACCGUUGGGCCCACAUCUCAGCCUCACACGACCAGUCCAUUCGCGCUUGUGCUGUGUCGUUGGCAAGUGGGACCAAUCGUCGGAUGCCGCGCGUGCGCCUGAUGGAUGCCUGGCCUCGCUGACUGGUGGGCCAUUGGCUACUGUUUAUCUGCUCACGAGUCCACCGAAGCCGUCAAACUGCGCGCACGGAUCGGAGCCCGUUACAACGAACUGAGCGCCGCGCGCGGACUGCCACCUCGCCCAGCGAUUUAAGUAUCGCCUUGUCGCCGCCUCUGUUAGUCCUGCUACCUCGAGAAGAAUUACCCUAAUCGCCAUUGGCGCUCGACGCUGGGGAGAGAGGAAGAAGCGUGCUCCGGUCGCCACCAUGAUCGCGCAGAGAGAGUGCGCCGGGAGUCACCACUUCGGAGCCGAGCGAGGUGGAGAGGAUAGCCCGUGGCUGGGGUGCCCGUGGUGUGUGCCAUCAGGCAGACAUUGCCGGGCGAGGUCACCACCCAGUGCUUCCUAGCGCACGCACCAGUGCCGGUGAUUGACGCCGCGCCGCAGGAACGGACCCGUCAACAUCCCCCUUGCUGGUAAGCUCAUGACCUCGGUUUGUUUUGACCCUCGCAGAGCGGAUCUAGAGAGGCUUAGUGGGUAGAAACCAUUACACCUUUGGGCUAUGUGCUGCAAAUGGCGCCGCCCUGGUGUAGACCGAUUGGAGUGGAGGAGAGAGGGUGUCGUGGGAUUGAAGACGAUCCAGGGACCGUUGGAUUCGGAAAGGGCGAGUGAGAUUAGAUCCAAACAAAAUAUUCGCGGUUUGAUCCCCUGCUGUUGAGCUUGUAACUGAUGGCCGGAAUCGGUCCUGAAUACCGCUUCGGCUGGGGUAGGUUGGCCGUCGAUUUUGUAGGUAACGGCUCAGAUUAGAAGACAAUACCCCCUCGCGCGAUCUAGAUCAAGACCGUUGAAUUUUGAUCUGAUGGGUUGGAUCGGAUCAUGCCUAAAUAAAACCCACGCCGUUGGAUCUUUAUCCAACGGUGACUACUGCGUACCCGUUCAGUGGAGUCCUGGUCUAAUCUGAGCCAUCCAUUUAAGAUCAAACGACCCAUGUUAGAUCAUAACCCUUCGGCCGGGUGAUCUUGCAAUUGAACCACUGUGGUCUCCAUGAAUUAACCCGCUGUCCGCGCAGGGGGGCGCUCUGUGUCUUAGGGAAUUUUGCUCCAGAGACCCUGCAGUUUCCUGUAUUUGAGGCACAGUCCAGUUAAUAAGAAAAACAGAGAAAUUGAAUUAGAAAUUGAAUUUUUAAUAUAAAAACAAUUCCAGAAUUUUGUUAAAUCCAUAGAAAAUUCAUAUUAAGUCCAAAUGAGAUCAUUCCAAUUUCUAUAAUUCUAUAAUAUUAUUGUUCAUCACAUAGUACCUCUGUUUUGACAUGAAUAUCACAUUAAAAUUAAUAUCCUAAGUAAUCUUUUAUCCAACACUUAAAACUUAAUAAAUUCAUAACUUCUUCAUUUUAAUUCCGUUUUGAUCCGUUCAAGUUGUGUUAGUCUCGUAGCAACGUGUAGAUUAUUAUUACACAGUUUUAUUCUUAUGUUUGGUGUAAUGUUAAUUUUAUCUAUAUCAUGUCUGUUUGUAUUGCUACGACUAGCGCGAGGACACGUGUCAUAUGAACGCAAGUUGGUACCUGGAAUCUCAAGUGCCAGGCAAGUUGUGCCCUUGAUUCACUUUUGUUACCCAAUAAUGUUCUUUAUAAUCAUUUACCAUGCAUAGGUUUAAUUUUGAUGGGACCCGAUAGGUCACCCUAGAUUGUUUAUCUCAUUACCUUGUUUACCCCUGAAUCACUUGGGUAGUUUGCUAUUGCUUUAUAUGGUUUUGGGAUAAUCAUUUAUUAUAUCCAUGUUCCAAUUAUUAUGUUAUUUUAUUUAUGUUCAUGUCAAGAUCAUUAUAUUAUUGUUAAUUGGAACAUGGAGCUUAACUUGAGAAACACGUGCCACCACAAGGGAGGAAUGGGACCCCUUGGCUGACUAAUUAGGAAAGCUAGUGGAAGACUACCUUACCCGAAAGGGGCAAGGGUAGUAGGGGAGUUGCAUGCAAGGAGGUUCUCGGGUUGAUUUGCUGUGAUGGCGGUCAGACGGGGGAUUCUUGCAAGUGCUCUUCCCAUAAACUGUAGCGGGUUUUCGGAAGCUAGUGGAACUUUGUAAAGGCCUCGUAGUGGAUCCCUAGCCAUUCACCUUGGUAGUGUCUAAGGGCCUAGCUAACCCUGGCGACAUGGGAAACACGACUUGUGGGUAAAGGGUACAACCUCUGCAGAGUGUAAAACUGGUAUACUAGCUGAGCUCACGGUCAUGAGCGGCUCAGGACUCUCCGAUGAUUAAAUUAUGGAACCUAAACUCAAUUUGUCAUUUGCAUUUGCAUGGGAUUAUUAUUAAUUUUGUUCUAUUAUUUUAUUUAAGGUUUGGUAUUUACUUACAUGUAGUAACUGCUAAUAAAAUUUUGACCAACUACUUAAAAGCAAUGCUCAGCUUUAACCCCUAUUGUUGACAAGACUUACACUUCAUGAACUCCCCACCUUUGGUGAGUUCAUGUCACAUUAUUCUCCACAACUUGUUGAGCGAUGAACAUGUGUGAGCUCACCCUUGCUGUCUCACACCCCCCACAGGUCAAGAGCAGGUACCACUGGAGGAGGCACAUGGUGGAUGUUGCGCUGUGUUCGUGAGAUGUCUAGGGCGUCGUCUCCCAGUUGACUUAUGCGCCAAGGACGAUCCUUAGUUCGUGUUAUAUUUAUCUUUUAUUUUGUAAGUCUUCCGCUAUGUAAUAAA